AGUAUAUAAGCGCUUGUGGCGAGUGACUCUUUCUUUUCCUUCGUCUCCAGCCACGGCCAGGUUCAGUGGUCCUUGGCGAGGCGGUGACGGGCGGUGCCGGGUGCUUCUGGUGUGACCACGAGGCGAGUCAUUUUGCCCAACCUUUCCGGUUCUGAUGGUUAUCGACCCUGUGGCAGUCGGCGACGCUUAUUUUACGUCGCCAGAAAUCGUGGGGAGCUGUGUGAGCUUAACCACGUGGUGCAAGGUGGUGCUACGGGCGGUACCAACUACCACGUAGUGCUUCGGAGCAUGAUCGGCUAAGUGACAUUUAGUAACCUCCAACCUUGUGCUAGGAAUAAUUCGAACCUUUUAUAAGCUAGUGCUAUAGUUUUUUAAUUACGUUUUAUUUUAAAAUUUAGACAAGUUCGUGUGUUCCUAAUUUUAAUUUUAGUAUUAAAAAAUUGUUAUCUUAUUUAAAUUCCAAGAGUGUGCAAGACAGUUUUUUUUAUUUGCGAGCAAAUAAUAUUAUUUUCUAACUAAAAUCGUCUGGUUAAAAAAAAACACUAAACGAAAGAAAAAGUUUGUUUCAAAUUGUUGAUUUUACUAAUAAUUGAAUAGUGAAGAAAAUAUAAGAAUAUUACAGUAAGAAAA